rnacentral:rRNA from 1 species
GACGAACGCUGGCGGCGUGCUUAACACAUGCAAGUCGAACGGAAAGGCCCCUUUGGGGGUCCUCGAGUGGCGAACGGGUGCGUAACACGUGAGUAACCUGCCCUUGACUUCGGGAUAACUUCAGGAAACUGGGGCUAAUACCGGAUAGGAAUCCUUGCUGCAUGGUGGGGGUUGGAAAGCUUCGGCGGUUUUGGAUGGACUCGCGGCUUAUCAGCUUGUUGGUGGGGUAGUGGCUUACCAAGGCUUUGACGGGUAGCCGGCCUGAGAGGGCGACCGGCCACAUUGGGACUGAGAUACGGCCCAGACGCCUACGGGAGGCAGCAGGGGGGAAGAUUGCACAAGGGGCGGAAGCCUGAUGCAGCAACGCCGCGUGCGGGAUGACGGCCUUCGGGUUGUAAACCGCUUUCAGCAGGGGCGAAGCUUGUGGUGACGGUACCUGCAGAAGAAGCACCGGCUAACUACGUG